GAAGGCAUCUUUUAAUUUUUAAAAGACCUUUUUCGAAAGGUAUACUUAAAGAGGGGCUUGCGGCACAUUAGUUAGUUGGUAGGGUAAAAGCCUACCAAGACCAUGAUGUGUAGCUGGACUGAGAGGUUGAACAGCCACAUUGGGACUGAGACACGGCCCAAACUCCUACGGGAGGCAGCAGUAGGGAAUUUUCGGCAAUGGAGGAAACUCUGACCGAGCAACGCCGCGUGAACGAUGAAGUAUUUCGGUAUGUAAAGUUCUUUUAUUGAAGAAGAAAAAAUAGUGGAAAAACUAUCUUGACGAUAUUCAAUGAAUAAGCCCCGGCAAACUAUGUGCCAGCAGCCGCGGUAAUACAUAGGGGGCGAGCGUUAUCCGGAAUUAUUGGGCGUAAAGGGUGCGUAGGCGGUUUGGUAAGUCUAUAGUUUAAUUUCAGUGCUUAACACUGUUCUGCUAUAGAAACUAUCAGACUAGAGUGAGAUAGAGGCAAGUGGAAUUCCAUGUGUAGCGGUAAAAUGCGUAAAUAUAUGGAGGAACACCAGAGGCGUAGGCGGCUUGCUGGGUCUUUACUGACGCUGAGGCACGAAAGCGUGGGGAGCAAACAGGAUUAGAUACCCUGGUAGUCCACGCCGUAAACGAUGAGUACUAAGUGUCGGGGAAACUCGGUACUGAAGUUAACACAUUAAGUACUCCGCCUGAGUAGUACGUACGCAAGUAUGAAACUUAAAGGAAUUGACGGGACUCCGCACAAGCGGUGGAUCAUGUUGUUUAAUUCGAAGAUACACGAAAAACCUUACCAGGUCUUGACAUACUCUGCAAAGCUAUAGCAAUAUAGUGGAGGUUAUCAGGGAUACAGGUGGUGCAUGGUUGUCGUCAGCUCGUGUCGUGAGAUGUUAGGUUAAGUCCUAAAACGAGCGCAACCCUUGUCACUAGUUGCCAGCAUGUUAUGAUGGGCACUUUAGUGAGACUGCCAAUGAAAAAUUGGAGGAAGGUGAGGAUCACGUCAAAUCAUCAUGCCCCUUAUGAUCUGGGCUACAAACGUGAUACAAUGGCUGUUACAAAGAGUAGCUAAAACGCGAGUUUAUAGCCAAUCUCAUAAAAGCAGUCUCAGUUCGGAUUGAAGUCUGCAACUCGACUUCAUGAAGUUGGAAUCGCUAGUAAUCGCGAAUCAGCAUGUCGCGGUGAAUACGUUCUCGGGGUUUGUACACACCGCCCGUCAAACCACGAAAGUUGGUAAUACUCAAAAACGGUAGCCUAACUU
rnacentral:rRNA from 1 species